rnacentral:misc_RNA from 1 species
UUUCCGUAGGUGAACCUGCGGAGGGAUCAUUACAGAGUUCAUGCCCUCACGGGUAGUUCUCCCACCCUUGAUUAUUUAUACCUUAGUUGCUUUGGCAGGGCGUGGAAAGACCAUGGGCUCCGCCUUAUGCGUGCCCGCCAGCGGAAACAAACUCUGUUUUUAGUGAUGUCUGAGUACUAUAUAAUAGUUAAAACUUUCAACAACGGAUCUCUUGGUUCUG